rnacentral:tRNA from 1 species
GCCUUCUUGGCUCAGUUGGUUAGAGCGCAGGUCUCAUAGAAAUAUGACUAAUCUUAUGAUUAGGUAAUCCUGAGGUCGCAAGUUCGAACCUUGCAGGGGGCA